rnacentral:ncRNA from 1 species
GCGCCGGUUCCCCCGACAAGGGGGAUUAAAAGGGAACACGGUGAGGGGGGCAGCUCCCAAAUCCGCGGCUGUCCCUGCAACUGUAAGCGGUGAGCGGAGAUGCACGGGUCGGCCAUCGGGACGAUCCAGCCACUGGGGUAACCUGGGAAGGCGCAUCCAUCCGCGACGACCCGUGAGCCAGGAGACCUGCCGGCGUC